rnacentral:rRNA from 1 species
CCUACGCGAGGCAGCAGUGAGGAAUAUUGGUCAAUGGGCGCGAGCCUGAACCAGCCAAGUAGCGUGAAGGAUGACUGCCCUACGGGUUGUAAACUUCUUUUAUAAAGGAAUAAAGUGAGGCACGGGUGCAGUUUUGUAUGUACUUUAUGAAUAAGGAUCGGCUAACUCAGUGCCAGCAGCCGCGGUAAUACGGAGGAUCCGAGCGUUAUCCGGAUUUAUUGGGUUUAAAGGGAGCGUAGUUGGGUUGUUAAGUCAGUUGUGAAAGUUUGCGGCUCAACCGUAAAAUUGCAAUUGAUACUGGCAGCCUUGAGUACAGUUGAGGUAGGCGGAAUUCGUGGUGUAGCGGUGAAAUGCUUAGAUAUCACGAAGAACUCCGAUUGCGAAGGCAGCCUACUAAACUGCCACUGACAUUGAUGCUCGAAAGUGUGGGUAUCAAACAGGAUUAGAUACCCUUGUAGUC